ensembl:lncRNA
ACCUCGCCCGCCCUUGCCGCCUGCUUGGGUGGUGGUUCCGGUUCAGCUAGCGACCGUUGGCGUGCAAGCGGGAGGGACUCAGUGGAGCCGAGCCGAGCCAAGCCAAGCUAGGCUGGCAGAGGUGCGGAGCAACUGCAGCUUUCUUAAAAUGCAGAAGCCGGAAGUGAGGAGGCCGCGUAGUUCCUCUCCUCAAAGACACCGCGUGACUGGGGGAAAAACAUUCUUGAGUUGUGAUGGCAGAAGAAGACGGGUCUAAAUUCAACCUGUAAAUUUUUGGAGUAACUGUGACUAGAAUUUCUAUUGUUUACUUACUUUUAGGAUAGAUAGGCAAUCUUAUAGAAUUAACGGCCUUUGUGAGCAAGGGUAUUCCUGAUUUUCAAACAGGGAAGCAAGCAGUACUUUUAGGCUAGGCCUUAAUUUCAGUUUAGACUUAAAUGACUCUUCUAAUUAAGUUUAUACUAUGAGCCUAGAUGCUCUGCAUUCCCUCAUCUUUACAAAGAGCACAGUGGGCCUGGGGUGUAGUGUACCAUGUUUCAAAUUAGUGUGGAAUCAGUCUGCACAAAAGGGAAUGUAGUUAGGAGGAUGUUGGCAUAUUUUGUGCUGCCUUCCAGGAUCCUUAGCUGCGCUCAUUUCAAGGCUUUCGCCAAGUUUUAUGCUAUUAUAAUCUCAGUAGUUAGUGACUGUGCUGUACUCUAGCCACAUAGCUGACUGUACUUCAGUAGUCCUAAAUCUGGAUAAGUGUUGUGCUUUCGCUGGUGGCUCUGGUGCUGCUAAAGCACUGUAGAAGGGUUGUUGCAAGGAGUGUACAUGUACUGUGGAAGAUGAAGGUAAGUUUGUGAAGUCUAAAAGAUGUAUGUGAAUGUCUGCAGCUAAAACUUUAAUAUAUGCUAAUGUAAAGCAUUCAAAUGUACUGAUGAGUCAAUAAAGAGAGAUGGACUUAC